CAGCAGCCGCGGUAAUACGUAGGGUGCGAGCGUUAAUCGGAAUUACUGGGCGUAAAGCGUGCGCAGGCGGUUUUGUAAGACAGAUGUGAAAUCCCCGGGCUUAACCUGGGAACUGCGUUUGUGACUGCAAGACUCGAGUGCGGCAGAGGGGGGUGGAAUUCCACGUGUAGCAGUGAAAUGCGUAGAUAUGCGGAGGAACACCGAUGGCGAAGGCAAUCCCCUGGACCUGUACUGACGCUCAUGCACGAAAGCGUGGGGAGCAAACAGGAUUAGAUACCCUGGUAGUCCACGCCCUAAACGAUGUCAACUGGUUGUUGGGAGGGUUUCUUCUCAGUAACGUAGCUAACGCGUGAAGUCGACCGCCUGGGGAGUACGGCCGCAAGGUUAAAACUCAAAGGAAUUGACGG
rnacentral:rRNA from 1 species